rnacentral:tRNA from 2 species
GCCUUUAUAGCUCAGUGGUAGAGCGCUUGACUUGUAAUCAAGAGGUCCGUGGUUCAAUCCCGCGUGGAGGCA